rnacentral:rRNA from 1 species
GAUGAACGCUGGCGGCGUGCCUAAUACAUGCAAGUCGAGCGAACGGACGAGAAGCUUGCUUUUCUGAUGUUAGCGGCGGACGGGUGAGUAACACGUGGAUAACCUACCUAUAAGACUGGGAUAACUUCGGGAAACCGGAGCUAAUACCGGAUAAUAUUUUGAACCGCAUGGUUCAAAAGUGAAAGACGGUCUUGCUGUCACUUAUAGAUGGAUCCGCGCUGCAUUAGCUAGUUGGUAAGGUAACGGCUUACCAAGGCAACGAUGCAUAGCCGACCUGAGAGGGUGACCGGCCACACUGGAACUGAGACACGGUCCAGACUCCUACGGGAGGCAGCAGUAGGGAAUCUUCCGCAAUGGGCGAAAGCCUGACGGAGCAACGCCGCGUGAGUGAUGAAGGUCUUCGGAUCGUAAAACUCUGUUAUUAGGGAAGAACAUAUGUGUAAGUAACUGUGUACAUCUUGACGGUACCUAAUCAGAAAGCCACGGCUAACUACGUG